rnacentral:rRNA from 1 species
UAGAAUCAUGGAGGUAGAGCAACUGUUUGAACUAGGGCCCCUUAUCGGGGUACCGAAUUCUGAUAAACUCCGAAUGCCAUUGAUUCAUGUCCGGGAGUCAGACUGCGAGUGAUAAGAUCCGUAGUCGAAAGGGAAACAGCCCAGACCACCAGUUAAGGUCCCAAAGUUUAUGUUAAGUGGAAAAGGAUGUGGGGUUGCUUAGACAACUAGGAUGUUGGCUUAGAAGCAGCCAUCAUUUAAAGAGUGCGUAAUAGCUCACUAGUCGAGUGACCCUGCGCCGAAAAUUUACCGGGGCUAAACAUAACACCGAAACUGUGGAUAGAACCAUUGGUUCUAUGGUAGGAGAGCGUUCUAAGGGCGUUGAAGCUAGAUCGUGAGGACUAGUGGAGCGCUUAGAAGUGAGAAUGCCGGUAUGAGUAGCGAAAGACGGGUGAGAAUCCCGUCCACCGAAUGACUAAGGUUUCCUGGGGAAGGCUCGUCCUCCCAGGGUUAGUCGGGACCUAAGCUGAGGCCGAAUGGCGUAGGCGAUGGCCAACAGGUUGAUAUUCCUGUACCUGUUUGUUUUGUUUGAGCAAUGGAGGGACACAGGAGGCUAAGAAAUGCGUGCUGCUGGAUAUGCACGUCCAAGCAAUGAGUCUUGAAGUGAGUGAAAUGCUUGCUUCUCUAAGGAUGAGUUGUGAUGGGGAGGGAAAUUAAGUACCGAAGUUUCUGAUGUCACACUGUCAAGAAAAGCUUCUAGUGAGAAACAAACAGCCCGUACCGCAAACCGACACAGGUAGUCGAGGAGAGAAUCCUAAGGUGUGCGAGAGAACUCUCGUUAAGGAACUCGGCAAAAUGACCCCGUAACUUCGGGAGAAGGGGUGCUGACCAUUGGUCAGCCGCAGUGAAUAGGCCCAAGCGACUGUUUAUCAAAAACACAGGUCUCUGCUAAAUCGAAAGAUGACGUAUAGGGGCUGACGCCUGCCCGGUGCUGGAAGGUUAAGAGGAUGGGUUAGCUUCGGCGAAGCUCAGAAUUGAAGCCCCAGUAAACGGCGGCCGUAACUAUAACGGUCCUAAGGUAGCGAAAUUCCUUGUCGGGUAAGUUCCGACCCGCACGAAAGGCGUAACGAUUUGGGCACUGUCUCAACGAGAGACUCGGUGAAAUUAUAGUACCUGUGAAGAUGCAGGUUACCCGCGACAGGACGGAAAGACCCCAUGGAGCUUUACUGCAGUUUGAUAUUGAGUGUCUGUACAGCUUGUACAGGAUAGGUAGGAGCUAUUGAAGCCAGGACGCCAGUCUUGGUGGAGGCAUUGGUGGGAUACUACCCUUGCUGUAUGGCCACUCUAACCCUC